CAAAAUGCAAAUAAAAAUAUGAAACUUCAAAUUUGAAGUUUUGAAAAGUGAAACUCUAUAUUUGAAGUUAUAGAGUUUCUUUUGGAGAUGCUCUAAAAGAAUCAUCAGAAAGAGCAGUUACCGUAAUCAAUAUGGUGCUUGGGGCUUCUCAGGUGCUCGUUUUCAGAAGCAUGGUAAGGCUCUUCGACGUGGCAAGCGCAGCAAAUUGAAUUACGACUGUAAAAUGAAGCAAAAAAAUUAGCUUUUAAAGAAGUAAAAGAGGAAAAUAAAGUAUUGCUAAAAAACUUAGCUUCUAUCGAUGAUGUUAAUAUUCGUGAAUACAUUCGAUCUGAACAAGAAAGAAUCGUACGAAAAAGGCGUCAAGAGCAACAACAACAAUCAUCUUCGGUUACACAAAAUUUAUUUGGGCAAUAUUUUGGAGAUUUGGGAGGUUUUGGAGCAAAUUUAUCAGACUAUUAGUGUUGUUAUAAUAUUUAAAUUUGAGUAAUAAUUAUGUCUUCAUGUGUCUUUUUAAUAAGUUUUUAUUAUGGUUUUUUGUAAUAUUCUUGUUCUUUAAUUCUAGUUUUAAAAUAUUAUAAAUCUUGUUUUAAAAUUUUUAUUUAAUUUCAUAUGUAAAACUUAAAUUUAUAAAACAAAUUUUAAAUAUUUAUGAGAUAUAAAAGUUUUAAGGAUUAAAACAAUAAACAAAAAAUAUUUAAGAAUUAUAAAUAUGAUCUAUAAUUAUAAUGACCAAAAUGCAAAUAAAAAUAUGAAACUUCAAAUUUGAAGUUUUGAAAAGUGAAACUCUAUAUUUGAAGUUAUAGAGUUUCUUUUGGAGAUGCUCUAAAAGAAUCAUCAGAAAGAGCAGUUACCGUAAUCAAUAUGGUGCUUGGGGCUUCUCAGGUGCUCGUUUUCAGAAGCAUGGUAAGGCUCUUCGACGUGGCAAGCGCAGCACAACCACCUACGCAUCUUUUCUCUCUUGCCUAUGUAGAGAUCGUCUACAGCUCUCGGUUUAUCUAGCCGAACAAAGUAUACUGGUGAACGAUCGUCCGCCUGAAAAUGUCAUCACUAUCAUCAAUACACUCACAAAGGUUUUCCUUUUUCAUAUCUAAACAGAGCCAAAAACAGAGGAAAAAACAGAGCCAAAAACAGAGCCAAAAACAGAGCCAAAGCAAGUUUCUUCAAACGAAACAGA
rnacentral:lncRNA from 1 species